GUGAACUUGUUCAGGAAAGGUAAAGGUACUUGAAAUUUUUUUUUUCAAGCUGGUUUAAGCAGCACAAUUUGAGGAAUGUGGAGGGAAGAGUUAGAAAUACUUGGUAUCGGUUUGAAUUUCUUUGUUAUGCCUUCAUAUAUGUAUUGACAGACAACCAGAAGAACUGAGACCUCAAGAAAGAGACAACUCAAGUCCAAAAUCUCCUUGCCUUAUUGAAGUCCAUGAACAGACUUUUCAUCAAGCAGUCAUCUCCUCUCUGUGGCAUUAUAAGUGCCCCAGUUUCUUCCUUUCAGGUUUACUCUGGUUGUUUUAAAAGAAUAAAUGGGGUAUGAAUAUUUAAGAUCCAAAAAGCUGUCAUUUUUCUUCAUUAACUUUUUCUCUCCUUAUCCUGCAGGUAUUUCCCUCGAGAAGAUGGAAAUGCCUGUGACCACUUUGGAUUCAUAAUCCUGAAGCAUUUUUUAAAUCUAGAUAUCCAAACCCUAUCUUAAAAAUACUAGUAAGGAUUCACUCAUAUGAACAGACUGAAGGAAGAACCACAACUUCUUGUUUAUUAUUAUUAUUAAUAUUAUGAUUAAUAUUAUUCUUAUUUACUGAUCUGUGAAUACUUGCAGAGGACAUGGGUACUGUGAGUUGUAGGGGAUCCAAAUGAGUCAGAGAGAUAAUAAUGAGGUGGUUGUCAUGUGCAUGCCCAAUACUGAGGGCACUCCCUUCAAAAAGGGACAAUAUCUUAAGCUUAGAUUUCCACUUGAAAACGUGAUUAUUUAUUUAACGAGAGCAUUAUGUAAAAUAUGCCCUAUCUAAAUCUCAAAUCUGUGCCCAAAUCGGAGUUUCCCAAGUUUCUAUUUCUUUUUAAUGACUAACCAAUCAAAACAUACCUUUGCAGAACACAUGAAACCAAUGAAUAAUCUUCCAGUGGAGCAAAUUCUUUUCCCAGCAGCCACAAUGAAUAAACAACUUUCAAGCGAGAUCGAGACUACUUGGGAUUCUUUCUGAUUCAGUUGUGCACAUAUGGACUGAUGCCAGUGGAACCAGUGGAAUGUCUCUGGGUAUACAUUCACUGUGACUGAGGUAUCCUGAUGAUUUUAAUCAAUUAAAAUAGCUGAAUGAAGCUGAGCCAGGGUGGGGGACAAAUAGGAAGGCUGUGGCAAGACAGGAAACAUGUCCCUAAAAGCCAGGCAACGCCACAGAUGAUGAUUUUUUCCAUUUAAUGAAAAAAAUACAUAUAGUCAAGAGCUUGACUGAAAACCCAGUGGAAUCAGUGCAAGUCUUUCCUUUGACUACAGUGAGAUUGGAAUCAAGACUUACAUGGUUGUGGAUUAUCCAUAAGGGCCAUCUUCUCCGUGUGAAAUUAGUGCACCAGAGUCAAGGGCAGAAAAAAAACGCAGAGACAGACUUCCCCAAGUCACAACACCCCACGGGGACCAGCUGACGUUGGGAAAGCCGAGAAGUGAGCCAUUAAAGUCCGGCCUGGGAUUGACACUGACCUAGGCCUGCCAUCCGGCAUUGUCCUGCCAUCUGCACAGACGUGAACUUUGCCUCGAAAAUUUGGCUUCUCAAUUAACAUGUCCAGCUGGGGGGAGAAUUCCGUCAUUUGCCUAAUAUCAUUAUUGCCAC